rnacentral:rRNA from 1 species
GACGAACGCUGGCGGCGUGCCUAAUACAUGCAAGUAGAACGCUUGAGAGAGGAGCUUGCUCGUCUUGGAUGAGUUGCGGACGGGUGAGUAACGCGUAGGUAACCUGCCUUGUAGCGGGGGAUAACUAUUGGAAACCAUAGCUAAUACCGCAUAACAAUGGAUGACACAGGGCAUUUAUUUGAUAGCGCCAUUUGCUCCACUACAAUAUGGACCUGCGUUGUAUUAGCUAGUGGGUGAGGUAAUGGCUCACCUAUGCGACGAUACAUAGCAGACCUGAGAGGGUGGUCGGCCAACCUGGGACUUAGACACGGCCCAGACUCCUACAGGAGGCAACCGGAGGGAAUCUUCGGCAAUGGGGGCAACCCUGACCGAGGAACGCCGCGGGAGUGGAGGAGGUUUUCGGAUCGUAAAACUCUGUUGUAAGUGAAGAACGGGUGGGAGGGUGGAAAGUUCACGCUGUGACGGUAGCUUAACAGAAAGGGACGGCUAACUACGUG